CAAUACAUAGCCAAAGUCUAGGACUAUACUAAAAUAAUAUAACAUAAUAAAACAUACAACUUUAAAACACAAGCUAACAAUAACAGAUGUUGUCAUUUAAGCUGUUCAGCCAACCAUGGAUAAUCUCAAAUCACCAAUGUGAUUGGUCACUUUAUCCAUGUUUAUCACUGAAGGCCAUGGAAAUUAACAAAGGUGCUUUUUUGAAUGUUAUCAGUUAACUGAAAUUUGUUAGUGGAUUAGAUCUCUUUCUCAGUGCACAUUCAUGAUGAUAAAACUGCAGGCAUAACCAUACAUUCUGAAGUAUUUCAGCAGUACCAAUAGAAUUUGUUGGUAAAGGAAUUUUUCUCAGUGAAAACUCAUGAAGUAAGAAAGCGUUGAUGUUUGUUUAAAAGCCUUAAUGCGGCAGUCGGAAAAACAGGAAAUUACCUGACUUUCAAAGCAUGUGAAGCAAGGGUGAAAAUCCGAAGCCAUCUUGAUUCAAUAUUUCAAACUUAGUUUGGUCACUCUGCAGAAUCUACAAUGGCAUCUUUCAGCAAGAUUUUAAAUUUACUCUGCUACCAUUGGACAAGAAAAAGCACGGAU